UUGGUCAAUGGCCGAGAGGCUGAACCAGCCAAGUCGCGUGAAGGAUGAAGGAUCUAUGGUUUGUAAACUUCUUUUAUAGGGGAAUAAAGUGGAGGACGUGUCCUUUUUUGUAUGUACCCUAUGAAUAAGCAUCGGCUAACUCCGUGCCAGCAGCCGCGGUAAUACGGAGGAUGCGAGCGUUAUCCGGAUUUAUUGGGUUUAAAGGGUGCGUAGGUGGUGAUUUAAGUCAGCGGUGAAAGUUUGUGGCUCAACCAUAAAAUUGCCGUUGAAACUGGGUUACUUGAGUGUGUUUGAGGUAGGCGGAAUGCGUGGUGUAGCGGUGAAAUGCAUAGAUAUCACGCAGAACUCCGAUUGCGAAGGCAGCUUACUAAACCAUAACUGACACUGAAGCACGAAAGCGUGGGUAUCAAACAGGAUUAGAUACCCUGGUAGUCCACGCAGUAAACGAUGAUUACUAGGAGUUUGCGAUACAAUGUAAGCUCUACAGCGAAAGCGUUAAGUAAUCCACCUGGGGAGUACGCCGGCAACGGUGAAACUCAAAGGAAUUGACGGGGGCCCGCACAAGCGGAGGAACAUGUGGUUUAAUUCGAUGAUACGCGAGGAACCUUACCCGGGUUUGAACGUAGUCUGACCGGAGUGGAAACACUCCUUCUAGCAAUAGCAGAUUACGAGGUGCUGCAUGGUUGUCGUCAGCUCGUGCCGUGAGGUGUCGGCUUAAGUGCCAUAACGAGCGCAACCCUUAUCACUAGUUACUAACAGGUGAAGCUGAGGACUCUGGUGAGACUGCCAGCGUAAGCUGUGAGGAAGGUGGGGAUGACGUCAAAUCAGCACGGCCCUUACAUCCGGGGCGACACACGUGUUACAAUGGCAUGGACAAAGGGCAGCUACCUGGCGACAGGAUGCUAAUCUCCAAACCA
rnacentral:rRNA from 1 species